CGUAUCUCAUUGCCGCCGUCGCGCUCACCACCUUGUCCACCGUCCUCAUGUCCAUCUAAUGUGAUCUUCCUGUGUACAGUGUUCAUUACAGUGUUUAAGUAGGCUUGCCAUUCUUUAUGUGUUCCAUUUUCAGCCUGUCCUGUUUUUGCAAAAAGCUGGUGGAUGCAGGAGCGGAUGAGCCCCGUCGAUGGAGGGGGCCAAGGUGGACGACCGCACAGGGCCCCCCAAAAUUUGGGGCCCCCAGAUUACCAGGUUUAGUAUUGAGAAAGACUGUACGUAUUAAUCCACCUGCUAACCAAGCCCGUACAGAGAGCCCACUCAGCAACCAAGCCAGCCCAUGAGGCCUCCUUGUACAUGUAUCGAUCGGGCAUGUUCCAUCAUCGAUCGCUAGCCCUAAACACAACAAGCCACCGGUUCGCUUCUGCCAAUCGCCCAGGACGGCGCCGUCUGCUGGCUGCCUUUCGCCGAUCGGCGAUCACAGAACCUCGACGCCGCCUCCAUGGCGCCCUCCAAUCCUCGACUAGUACUAGUUUCCAGCUAAGAAACAUAUGCUAAGAUGGUAGCAACAGAGGAUCAUUACAUAUAAAAGCAUUAGGAUGCUUGGAAGGAAAAAAAUGACGACAUAAACAGAGCAUCUAUCCCUCGAUAUUCGCUUGAAAGGACAUUGAAUUGGCUGGCAACAUUUACAUAAUGAGCUAUCAAAUGGAUCAGGCAUCCACAUAUCAUGUAUGUGCUUGUUAUAGUGAAAACUGUAACUAACACAAUCUCUUCUGAAAUCAAAUUGUGCAUCUCUUGAAACUUUGUUAUCCAGCUGUAGCCACCUGUGCUGAUUAGCCAUCCAUUUCUCAUUGCAGGUAUUACCGUGGACACCAAAUUUCAUUACCUCGAGUACCUUUGCAUUCAGGACAAAGAACUUAGGCAAAGUUAACAUCUGGUCUCUUGCCUUCAUAGGUUUCCAAGACUAUUGCUCUGAGAUGGACUUCAAGGCAUUCGAUAGGAUCAAGGGUGUCAUAUUGCGGCACAUUUUUCAUAUACUCCCUAAGAUGUGACUACAAAAUAACAAGGAAAGCAUCUAAGAAAUCCAACAAUUGCGUCCAGAUUGGGGCCAAUAUAAUCUAGAACCAAGAUCCUCACUGUGCACAUCAAAGUAGUCAAGCAGAUGGGGAUCAUUUCCUGGAGAAAACGAAGAAGAUGUAGCAGGCUAUAAUGCAAAUAAGAACGCCGGAAUGCGAGUUUCAGGAGACUUGUCCUACCUCAGGAAUUAUUGUUCCAUGCUCAAGUUUGGAGAUUCUGGGAGUCAGGUAGCCCAACACCGCCAAUUUCGGUGGGGCGAUGACCCUAAUUGUUCUUGGACCCUCUUGACCAGGUUGGAUCAAUCUUUCAAGGCAUGGUGCAUCCUCAAUGAUAAGCUCCACCAUAUCUGCUUGGUGACGAACAUAGACACAAAUACUCCGGAGAGUCGACGAGAUGAUACGGAUGACAGUAAGCCCAUGGAUGCUCUGUAGAUCAAGGUUCUCGAGCAUAGUGCCUCCAGAAAGCAGGCGGUGGAAGACCGACUCCGAGAUGAUGAUGUCAUAGAGCUUGAGUUGCUUUAGCCGAGGGAGAAGAAGUGCGGGGGCGACAUCAAUCUUAGAUAAAUUGCAACCGUCGAUGAUGGCAAGCCGCAAAGUAGGCGCGAAGCGGAGCACAGAAGGAGGCACUAGGCAUUGCGUGUUUCUCCCAUAGAAGUCGAGCUCCUCAAGGCCAUUGAGGGCAGGGGUCCGGAACCAGAUGUCAAACCUGGCAUAGGAGUCAUUGCGGAGGCAGAUGCUGCGGAGGGAAAGGCGACGGGCUGGUCCAGGAUGCGAGAUGAGGAUGUUGGAGAUGAUGGCCAUGUGGUCGCGCCCUUGCCCUGGAUGUUUUGAAUAGAAGGUCGUAGUUGACGGCAAGGUUUAGUGGGGCCGAGCGCCAGAGGUGGCGCCACCGGGUGGAGAGAAUGGGGAUCCGUGUGGCCUCUUUAGUGGGGAGGAGGGAGAUGAUGCUGCCGAGGAUGUCGUCGGGGAGGCGGCUGAUGAUGUCUUGUGAUUCCAGCUUGUCCAGCCUCUGCUUCUUGGGUAAGGAAGUCAUUGCAUCAUCCAUGGCUGCUGCAACCAAAAUAUCUGCAAAAGAUAGAAAAACACAUUUGUUGAAAAGAACACAUGAACAGAAGUAUUUUCUCCGCCACAACUUGAACCUUUCAUUCAUGAAUGUACAUUAUACUUA